AUUUUGGACAAUGGGCGCAAGCCUGAUCCAGCAAUGCCGCGUGCAGGAUGAAGGCCUUCGGGUUGUAAACUGCUUUUGUACGGAACGAAAAGCCCUGGGUUAAUACCCUGGGGUCAUGACGGUACCGUAAGAAUAAGCACCGGCUAACUACGUGCCAGCAGCCGCGGUAAUACGUAGGGUGCGAGCGUUAAUCGGAAUUACUGGGCGUAAAGCGUGCGCAGGCGGUUUUGUAAGACAGAGGUGAAAUCCCCGGGCUCAACCUGGGAACUGCCUUUGUGACUGCAAGGCUAGAGUACGGCAGAGGGGGAUGGAAUUCCGCGUGUAGCAGUGAAAUGCGUAGAUAUGCGGAGGAACACCGAUGGCGAAGGCAAUCCCCUGGGCCUGUACUGACGCUCAUGCACGAAAGCGUGGGGAGCAAACAGG
rnacentral:rRNA from 1 species